AGCGAACGCUGGCGGCGUGCCUAACACAUGCAGGUCGAACGUGAACGGGGGCAACCCCUAGUAAAGUGGCGUACGGGUGAAUAACACGUAGGUAAUCUACCCUAAAGUUUGGAAUAACCUGCCGAAAGGCGGGCUAAUACUGGAUAGAGCGAUGGAACUCGUAAAGAGUUUUUCGGGAAAGGGAGCCCGCAAGGGCCUUCGCUUUAGGAUGAGCCUGCGUCUCAUUAGCUAGUUGGUGGGGUAACGGCCCACCAAGGCGAUGAUGGGUAGCUGGUCUGAGAGGAUGAUCAGCCACACUGGAACUGAAACACGGUCCAGACUCCUACGGGAGGCAGCAGUGGGGAAUCUCGCGCAAUGGACGAAAGUCUGACGCAGCCACGCCGCGUGAGUGAAGAAGGCCUUCGGGUUGUAAAGCUCUGUCGAGCGGGACGAAAAUCUUUCAGGUGAAUAGCCUGAGGGAGUGACGGUACCGCUAAAGGAAGCACCGGCUAACUUCGUGCCAGCCGCCGCAGUAA
rnacentral:rRNA from 1 species